rnacentral:misc_RNA from 1 species
UAAAAAAAAAAAAAAACUCAUAGCAAAUUACAUAUGAGAAGUUCAAAAUUCUCUUCCAUGAUUUGGUUAGGACAACACCAUUGCCUUAGCUUCUCAAAACUGAUUCUACAAAUACUCCAAACAACAAUCACACAAAGCAAAAUGGGAAGUUCCUGGUGUGUGAAACUAAUCAUCCACCGCAGGCUGCACCACAUCCAGCGCCGCAUCCACCACCGCAUCCACCACCGUAAAGGGUUGCAUCAACUUCUGCAGACUUGUUCUCUUUAGGCACGCCUUCAGCACAAGAAAAGAUCAUGGCUGAAAGUAUGGCAAGAGUUAACAAACCCAACCACAACACUAACACUACACAACCGCUGCUGAUACCAUCGCUUCCUCCGCCCAAGGUGGUUGCCUCUUUCAAUAGCCUCACCAUUUUUGUGUUAGUGUGGGUGGGAAGUGAGCCCCAGCAGGCUCCAAGAGAGCUCUUAUAUAUAUAUAAAUUCACUGAAAGGUCAACGUGUUACACGAAUACACUUGCAUUAUUCUUAGCUUUAUGUGAUUCUCUUUUGUUGCUCUCGAAUUGGCAGGCAAUUCCAUCAGAACUUUGACAUAUGGUGAUAGUGGUGCCAAAGCCACCACUAUAAAAAAUUCAAAGUGCAUAACGAUUAUUUUUCCCCCCUGACCCAUCUAACCAUCGAAAAUACAAACCCCAGGCAAUCGUGAGACCCUCCAAAAGACCUUUCAACUCUGCAUUUAACAUCGACAGUACUCCCAGAGACCCAGCAAAAUCACCACACCAAUUCCUUGCACUGUCGAAAUAGGCCACCAUAGAAAGCCAAACCAGUUCCCCUCUUCCAGCUACGUACCAUCUACGUUUAAUUUGUAGUAGGAAGAAGGUGGCAUCCUCCAACUAACUAUUACUUCAGAUCUCUGCGCUUAGUUCACUAAAAUCAAAGGACUGCUAGAAUAAAUUUUC